rnacentral:rRNA from 1 species
UGGGUGCGUAACGCGUACAUGACCUACCUUUUAGUGGGGGAUACUCCCGGGAAACUGGGCAUAAUACCGCAUGGGAUUGUUUAGCUGCAUGGUUUUACAAUCAAAGCCCUUCACGGGGUGCUAAAAGAUGGAUGUGCGUCCUAUUAGGUAGUUGGAGAGGUAACGGCUCCCCAAGCCAACGAUAGGUAGCUGGUCUGGGAGGAUGAACAGCCACACGGGCACUGAGACACGGGCCCG